GACGAACGCUGGCGGCGUGCCUAACACAUGCAAGUCGAACGGAAAGGCCCUGCUCUUGUGGGGUUCUCGAUUGGCGAACGGGUGAGUAUCACGCGAGGAACCUGCCCCUGACUUUGUGAUAACUCCAGGAAACUGGGGCUAAUAUCGGAUAGGAGCUCCUGCUGCAUGGUGGGGGUUGGAAAGUUUCGGCGGUGGGGGAUGGACUCGCGGCUUAUCAGCUUGUUGGUGGGGUAGUGGCUUACCAAGGCUUUGACGGGUAGCCGGCCUGAGAGGGUGACCGGCCACAUUGGGACUGAGGUACGGCCCAGACUCCUACGGGAGGCAGCAGUGGGGAAUAUUGCACAAUGGGCGGAAGCCUGAUGCAGCAACGCCGCGUGCGGGAUGACGGCCUUCGGGUUGUAAACCGCUUUCGCCUGUGACGAAGCGUGAGUGACGGUAAUGGGUAAAGAAGCACCGGCUAACUACGUG
rnacentral:rRNA from 1 species